rnacentral:lncRNA from 1 species
UGCACAAAGGAGGAGCAGCUCAGCGAGCUUGGUCUGGGCCAUCGAAGGGAACGUCCAAACAUCUGGAUUGUUUUCUGCUGUUUGUCUCACAUCCUUCUGGAAAGAAAGCAGGAGGAGACAGAGGUCAGAUUUGAUCCCGUUGUGUGUGAUGCUGAAGGCCAAGGGGCAGAAGCUGGUGCUUAGGCAGGGGAGAGGCUAGGCAAGCUGAGCAUUGUAGAGCAACGAGAUGAAAGUAGAGCUCAUUCUACGUCGCUGUUGAGCGCUUUGCAGGUAUUGAUCUUGCAGCGGGAUCUGUCUGGCUGCAGGACCGUGGUUGGAUACAUUGAUUCCAGCAGAAACUCAGCAAGCAGUGGCGACCUGUGCAAAGCGCUGCUCGGAAUGGACCUCUGCCGAGGAAUCAAGCAUUGAGCAAAAAGAAUGUUUGGGCCAGGUGACCGCAGAAGUCUGGCUGUUUUGGAUGGUGGCAGCAGAUGGAAGCAGGUGUUCUUGGGACUGCUGAGCUUUUGACGUGUUUUUACUCCCACGUGUGGGGCUUGUUUGCUUGUAGAAGGAAGACUGUUACGUGUAGUUUUCACAGCAAACUCCUGUUAUGAUUUCUUGAUGAUUUUAAUCCAAACUAUCAGAAGGAGGGUUGCAAGAAAGGGCCCUGCCAAUGCCGGUAAGUUUCUACUCAGCUCUGCAUGAGGGACCC